UACGGAGGGGGCUAGCGUUGUUCGGAAUUACUGGGCGUAAAGCGCACGUAGGCGGCUUUGUACGUUAGAGGUGAAAGCCCAGGGCUUAACCCUGGAAUUGCCUUUAAGACUGCAUCGCUAGAAUCGUGGAGAGGUGAGUGGAAUUCCGAGUGUAGAGGUGAAAUUCGUAGAUAUUCGGAAGAACACCAGUGGCGAAGGCGACUCACUGGACACGUAUUGACGCUGAGGUGCGAAAGCGUGGGGAGCAAACAGG
rnacentral:rRNA from 1 species